UACGAAGGGGGCUAGCGUUGCUCGGAAUCACUGGGCGUAAAGGGUGCGUAGGCGGGUUUUUAAGUCAGGGGUGAAAUCCUGGAGCUCAACUCCAGAACUGCCUUUAAGACUGCAUCGCUAGAAUUGUGGAGAGGUAAGUGGAAUUCCGAGUGUAGAGGUGAAAUUCGUAGAUAUUCGGAAGAACACCAGUGGCGAAGGCGACUUACUGGACACAUAUUGACGCUGAGGUGCGAAAGCGUGGGGAGCAAACAGG
rnacentral:rRNA from 1 species